AUUUGAUUGCUGUCAAAUUCCGCUCGCUGAACAAUUAAAAAUUUUAAGGACUAUUCCGAAAGCAGAAUAGAAUUCCAACCCAUAGGAAAGAUAAUCUGAUUUCGUCGUGUACCACCAAACCUAAACGAGCCUACAAGAAAACGGGGUCACUGCGCUAUGAAUAUUUUGUGGAAAAAUAUCAGACAUUUGAAAUCAAUUAACUUUAGGAAGGAACAUUCCAAAACUCGCUCAACAAUAAAUUUAAACUAUCAUGGGUGUUGGUAAAAGCAAUAAAUGAUUUGAUGCGUUUAUUUGACUUCUAUGAAUUGCAAGCCACUUCACAUCAAGAACACACCCGUUUUGAAAAUAUACAAAUUUGACCUGGAAUUCUACUGAGUUGGACUGGAUGGAACUUAUGCCUAUUAAUCGUGUUUGUCAUUGAUAAAAUAGAUGGUUCAGAAAUCAUUCAUUUAUUUUUUAAAUAUGUAUGUCUUUUGUGCAUAUAGAAGAUACAUUUUUGUAAUUGGAUUUUAUAUUAUGUGUCCUCAAAAAUCAUAACAAAGAUACGUUUGUUUUAA